rnacentral:rRNA from 1 species
AGCGAACGCUGGCGGCAGGCUUAACACAUGCAAGUCGAGCGCCCCGCCAGGGGAGCGGCAGUCGGGAGAGUAACACGUGGGAACAUACCUUUUGGUUCGGAACAACUGAGGGAAACUUCAGCUAAUACCGGAUAAGCCCUUACGGGGAAAGAUUUAUCGCCGAAAGAUUGGCCCGCGUCUGAUUAGCUAGUUGGUGAGGUAACGGCUCACCAAGGCGACGAUCAGUAGCUGGUCUGAGAGGAUGAUCAGCCUCACUGGGACUGAGACACGGCCCAGACUCCUACGGGAGGCAGCAGUGGGGAAUAUUGGACAAUGGGGGCAACCCUGAUCCCGCCAUGCCGCGUGAGUGAUGAAGGCCUUAGGGUUGUAAAGCUCUUUUGCCCGGGAAGAUAAUGACGGUACCGGGAGAAUAAGCCCCGGCUAACUUCGUG